rnacentral:miRNA from 1 species
UCAUCAUCAUGGUGGUGGUGGUGGUGAUGAUGAUGAUGAUCAUCAUCAUCAUCAUCAUCAUCAUCAUGAAAC